AUGCUGGGUACAAUUAGCAGGACGGUGCCCCCACCACCACGUCAGAACCCACAGCUCCUCCGACAUUCAUCUUCCUGGGAAAGCCACCCACCAAGAGGCUGGCUUCAAAGCCUGCCUGCGAGCCACGUCAAAACAUCAGUUUGAUCCUGUUAAAUGGGCCAUCUUCUCCUGCGUAUGAAUCAAGAGGAGAUUGCAAAUAGAUUAUAAAAAAGCAUCCUGUUAGACUGUCACUCUUCUGCAAGCACUCAAGAGUGUUGUGGUUUGAGUUAGCAGACCUGAGAACACGGAGCAAAAACAGUCCUUUCAGAGGAUCACCGCAGCACAGACCUGCAGCAGAGCUUGCUCAGUGUUAGGUGUCUGUUGUGUUUGCUUCCCUGCAGUUACAGCCUCUUACGAUGUGACAUGUUGCUGCUACACCAUGAAUUACUUUUCUAUAAAGUUAGCAUAAAAAUAAAAGAUAUAACACGUCAUUCUCACACUGGUAAGAUUACUUACUAAGUGUGAACAUAACCUGCUUAUGCAACCAGUGCUUAAUUGCAGAGUGCUGCAAGGUUGACCAAGAACCUAAGCCUGCACGGAGGGCCCUGCUCCCUGGCUCAGCACCCAGUUCCAGGGAGUGAGACUUAACCUCUCCCUCACCUCCUCUGCCCCAGCCCAGCAGUUGCAAUUAGACAACUGAGAAGACUAUUGUUUUAACAGGGAGCAAGUUUGGGCAUUUAGAGAUGAGAAGAUAUAGCUUCCACUCGCUCUAGAAUUAUUGGUAACCAAAGACCACGCACACGCACUGA